CUCCUACGGGAGGCAGCAGUGGGGAAUUUUGGACAAUGGGGGAAACCCUGAUCCAGCCAUUCCGCGUGAGUGAAGAAGGCCUUCGGGUUGUAAAGCUCUUUUGUCCGGAGCGAAACGGUGGCGGUGAACAUCCGCCACUACUGACGGUACCGGAAGAAUAAGCACCGGCUAACUACGUGCCAGCAGCCGCGGUAAUACGUAGGGUGCGAGCGUUAAUCGGAAUUACUGGGCGUAAAGCGUGCGCAGGCGGUUUUGUAAGCCAGAUGUGAAAUCCCCGGGCUCAACCUGGGAAUGGCAUUUGGGACUGCAAGGCUCGAGUAUGGCAGAGGGGGCUAGAAUUCCUGGUGUAGCAGUGAAAUGCGUAGAUAUCAGGAGGAAUACCGAUGGCGAAGGCAGGCCCCUGGGUUAAUACUGACGCUCAUGCACGAAAGCGUGGGGAGCAAACAGGAUUAGAUACCCUGGUAGUCCACGCCCUAAACGAUGUCGACUGGUUGUUGGGGGUUUGACACUCUCAGUAACGAAGCUAACGCGUGAAGUCGACCGCCUGGGGAGUACGGCCGCAAGGUUAAAACUCAAAGGAAUUGACGG
rnacentral:rRNA from 1 species